rnacentral:tRNA from 14 species
GGACACGUGGCCGAGUGGUCGAAGGCGCUCCCCUGCUAAGGGAGUAGGCCCGGAAGGGUCUCGAGGGUUCGAAUCCCUCCGUGUCCGCCA